GAGUGGACUAGGUCGGGCGGUUAGGCCCCGCUCCUCGCCCACAAGUGGCCUUAAGUGGGGACCGAACACCGGGGGCGUGCGCGCAGACGGUCGCGGGCCCCGCAAGCCAACGUCGAAGCCUCGUCCUGCGGGGAUGGAGGUCCGAACGGCUACACCUGCAGGGGUGCAGGCGUCCGGUUAACCGGCGACAGCCCGUCAGGCGCGGAAGCGAGCAGCGGACCGCCGGACAUCCGUCGCUCGUAGGGUCGCGGGGUGGAGGAGGCACGCGGGCUUACCCGCGACCGAACGCCGUGCAAUCUCGGCUGUCCGUUC
rnacentral:SRP_RNA from 1 species